AUUAAACUGAAGAGUUUGAUCCUGGCUCAGAUUGAACGCUGGCGGUAUGCUUAACACAUGCAAGUCGAACGGAAACGAUGGUAGCUUGCUACCAGGCGUCGAGUGGCGGACGGGUGAGUAACGCGUAGGAAUCUGCCUGAUAGUGGGGGAUAGCCCAGAGAAAUCUGGAUUAAUACCGCAUAAUCUCUAUGGAGUAAAGGAGCCCUCUUCUUGAAAGGUUUCGCUAUCAGAUGAGCCUGCGUAAGAUUAGCUUGUUGGUGAGGUAAAAGCUCACCAAGGCGACGAUCUUUAGCUGGUCUGAGAGGA
rnacentral:rRNA from 1 species